CCUACGUGAGGCAGCAGUGAGGAAUAUUGGUCAAUGGGCGCGAGCCUGAACCAGCCAAAUAGCGUGAAGGAUGACUGCCCUACGGGUUGUAAACUUCUUUUAUAAAGGACUAAAGUGAGGCACGUGUGCCUUUUUGUAUGUAUUUUAUGAAUAAUGAUCGGCUAACUCCGUGCCAGCAGCCGCGGUAAUACGGAGGAUCCGUGCGUUAUCCGGAUUUAUUGGGUUUAAAGGGAGCGUAGAUGGGUUGUUAAGUCAGUUGUGAAAGUUUGCGGCUCAACCGUAAAAUUGCAAUUGAUACUGGCAGCCUUGAGUACAGUUGAGGUAGGCGGAAUUCGUGGUGUAGCGGUGAAAUGCUUAGAUAUCACGAAGAACCCCGAUUGCGAAGGCAGCCUGCUAAGCUGUGACUGACGUUGAUGCUCGAAAGUGUGGGUAUCAAACAGGAUUAGAUACCCUAGUAGUC
rnacentral:rRNA from 1 species